rnacentral:lncRNA from 1 species
AGCAAAGUGGCAUAGAUCCUAGUGUCUGUCCUCUCAUUGUUGUGACAACAAAUUGCUCUGUGCAUCAUUUAGUCACAUGAUCAUUUAGUUCAUUUAGUCACAUGAUCUUGCUUCUCUAGUGUUGUCAUUCAGAACAGCCAUGCUUUUUUUCAUUUAUCUUUCAUUCUGAACUUAUACUGGAGGUUAUAUAGUGAGGAAAUGUUUCCUUUCCUCUCUCUGUUUUGUGCUACAGUAAAAGAGAAGGGUAUGGUCCUUAGUCAGGGUAGAUGUUCAACGUUGUCCUGUUUUAAUUUUCAUAAAACUUUUUAAUUUGGUUCAAAUUAAAUGAAUCAUUUACCCUGACUAAAGACCUUUUCAAUAGGUUAUUUAAACUUAACAAUAGGUUAUUUAAACUUAACAAACACAAUUAUGGUUAAUAGGUCAGUUUUGUAGCUUUUUGUUGUCAGGGUUUUAUUGUGUUUGUAUUUGAAUGGUUUGUAUUUGAAUAGACCUUUAUUUGUCAGCGUACUAAUGUACUAAUGCCUAAAAAUGCUUGUUUUUACUGGCACAUGACAUAAUGAAUUUUUACAGGAUAAUUUGGCAUGGAUGCUGCAAACAAUUCAGAAUCUUGCAUGUUGAGUUUGAAGUGAACAAGCUUUUCAUGUAAUAGCACGUGACUUUUAAUUUGCAUUUGUCUUCUGUUAAGAAAAAAAAAAAAUCAAAUCCCAACCAUAAUACCAUGGCCACUAUACAGAUAUUAAUCAAGAACUUAUGGCUUAUGCCGACAUAAUGAAUUUUUACAGGAUAAUUUGGCAUGGAUGCUGCAAACAAUUCAGAAUCUUGCAUGUUGAGUUUGAAGUGAACAAGCUUUUCAUGUAAUAGCACGUGACUUUUAAUUUGCAUUUGUCUUCUGUUAAGAAAAAAAAAAUCAAUCCCAACCAUAAUAACCAUGGCCACUUAUACAGAUUAUUUAAUCAAGAACUUAUUGGCUUUAUGGCCUGUUUGUCGACCUCAAAAAAAAAAAAAAGUACAUCUUCAGAACUGACUCUGAUGUUUUACACUGUGAAUCUAUUCUAUCAAAUAUUUUUAGCGUCAUACAUGGACAUUUUUUUUUUUUUUUUACCUUUCAUGUGGACGUCUUUUUCUAUGCAUGAAAUCACUGACUGUUGUGUUCGUAUUUGUUUUCCUGAUCAACUUUCCCAAAGACUCUCCUAAUGAUUUACUUUAAUGAAGCUGGUUAUUGUGAUUGUAAUGACUGCAGGUCGAUGUAGAAUAUGUUUGUUUUGGUUGCACUGAUGCACCUUUCAGCAGUAUUUCUUAAUAAAAACAAAAAACAAAAAUUGUAUUCAUGAAAUCCACUGGAAUGAUUCAGAUAAUAAUACAUGAUUUGGUUGGUGGUCAUGCUGUUUGCUGGAAAGCAGAGAGAAGUGUUCAAUUGCUUUAUGUA